rnacentral:sRNA from 1 species
CAGACGGCCACGCCAGGGGCGAUGAUGACCUUGGGCAGAUAGGCAAUAUCACUAAUCAUACUAGUUCAAAAUAGAACUAGUGUAUAUCCCCUUUUCAUAGGUGACGUUUUUUUGGUAAUAGUUACCAUCAUAGAAUUCAACCACUAGGUCAUGGUGUCCCAUUUGGCGCCAUUCUAGAAAUGGGAUCAGAACAGAACCAAGACUAGAUAUCUUUAUACAAAACACGAUCUGAGGAUUAAUCUUUACUAUAAAUAGUGCAAUGGAACUGGAACUAGCAUUAUAAGAAGUGUAAAGUGACUAGUAUAAUCAAACAAUAUA